GACAGAGGUUGCAAACGUUGUUCGGAAUUACUGGGCAUAAAGCGCACGUAGGCGGUCCGUUAAGUCAUGUGUGAAAUCCCCCGGCUCAACCGGGGAAUUGCGCCUGAUACUGGCGGGCUAGAGGUCGAUAGGGGUGAGCGGAACUCCAGGUGGAGCGGUGAAAUGCGUAGAUAUCUGGAGGAACACCGGUGGCGAAAGCGGCUCACUGGAUCGAAACUGACGCUGAGGUGCGAAAGCUAGGGUAGCAAACGGGAUUAGAUACCCCGGUAGUCCUAGCCGUAAACGAUGGGCACUGGGCAGGGGAGGUUCCUAUGCCUUCUCUGCCGAAGCUAAUGUGUUAAGUGCCCCGCCUGGGGAGUACGCUCGCAAGGGUAAA
rnacentral:rRNA from 1 species